CCUACGGGUGGCAGCAGUGAGGAAUAUUGGUCAAUGGGCUUACGCCUGAACCAGCCAAGUCGCGUGAGGGAAGACUGCCCUAUGGGUUGUAAACCUCUUUUGUCAGGGAGCAAUAGGCGCUACGUGGAGCGUUAUCGAGAGUACCUGAAGAAAAAGCAUCGGCAAACGCCGGGCCAGCAGCCGCGGUAAAACGGAGGGUGCGAGCGUUAUCCGGAUUUAUUGGGUUUAAAGGGAGCGUAGGUGGAUUGUUAAGGCAGGUGUGAAAGUUUGCGGCUCAACCGUAAAAGUGCAGUUGAAACUGGCAGUCUUGAGUACAGUAGAGGUAGGCGGAAUGCGUGGUGUAGCGGUGAAAUGCUUAGAUAUCGCGAAGAACUCCGAUUGCGAAGGCAGUUCACUGGACUGCAACUGACGCUGAGGCUCGAAAGUGUGGGUAUCAAACAGGAUUAGAUACCCCGGUAGUC
rnacentral:rRNA from 1 species